rnacentral:tRNA from 1 species
GCCAUGGUGGUGCAGUGGUUAAGCACCCAGCUGCUAAUUCAAAGGUUGGUGGUUCGAACCCACCCUAUGGCU